AGCUCGCGAGCCAGCUCCGAAACGCAGUCGUACCCGCUCCGGGGGUGGCAAGCUGGGGAGCGGGGUGGCGAGCUACGGAACGAGGGAGAACGAUAGAAAGAGCUCCGGCAAGAUAGAGCGAAGAAGAGCUGGACCGAGUAGAGCGGCGAUUCCGCUCCGACGGAGCACACACGGCCGGAAGACGCGCGGAGCGGGUAACGCGCGCGCGUUAACAUACUCACCUGGUCGGGCCGACCCAAGGUCAGGCUGUCCGGUGAAUGGCGGAUGACGAGCACACUGGAUGGUCACGUCGUCGCCAUUUAACACCUAUCUACUGCACACCGAGCCGGAUCAUCCGGGCACAACAACGGGGGACGACACUCUCCCAUAGCCGUUCACCGUGGCUGAAGAACGGGUACACCACCGGCCGAGAACAGGGCCAGGAACGCACUGUGUCGACGUCUAGAGCGGACACGACGGCGGGAGCGUGGCACCGCGGCGACGAUUCUCCGGGCCUCUGUCAGCUUUGAAUCACUAUGAACCUAACGAAACACCGACCGGAGCGGUGACUAGGGUCGACCUGGCCUCCUCGAGCCUCACCGAAGAACUGGCGGGCUCGUGCGCUCGCACGCACCAGUUACCCCCCUUCUAGACCACCGAAAAAUCAUUCUUGUGGCAAUUGAAACGACUGUACCUCGAAGAUUGCGAACGACGCGUUUUCAUUUCUCGGUUGAACGAUGAAUCCUACGAAACUGGCACAGAUGAAACGUUUCUUCGACGGACAGAAAGCAGCCGAUGUAAAUCGAUCGAGAGUACGAGAAAUUAGCAAGCGCUGGACAGACGUAACAGACAACAUUUCUAGCAGCGCAACGAAAUACAUGUCCGGGCACGUUGGAGCACUUUUCGGCGUAAGUGGGAACCGUGGACAGUGGACAGACACGCGGACAGCGGCGUGUGAAAAGUGGAAAUAGUGGACUGGUAUUUUAGCCGGCCGUAUUCGAAAGCGCGCGUGCCUGAUGAAUUUUUUAAUCCUAUUUUCUCGAAAAGAAAAGCAGGCGCGAAAAAUAUUAUGCGUCGUUUUCCAUUUGUUUGUGGCACGUGGAGGGUCGCGAACUGUCCUCGACCCCGCUAAUUAUUACAGAAACGGAAAAUAAGAAAUCCUUCGCCGGAUGUGCGUUUCGUUCGAAGAACGACGUCGAGGCUUCCCGCGCGUGAUAACGAUAAACCCACCGAGGUCUAAAAGCGAUUAAUAAAAAUUGCCUCGUAAAAAUUACAUGACAGAAUUUAUU